GAUGAACGCUGGCGGCGUGCUUAACACAUGCAAGUCGAACGGGAAACCUUUUACUGCAGCUUCGGCAGAUUUAGCUGGUUUCUAGUGGCGGACGGGUGAGUAACGCGUGGGUAACCUGCCUUAUACAGGGGGAUAACAGUCAGAAAUGACUGCUAAUACCGCAUAAGCGCACAGGACCGCAUGGUCCGGUGUGAAAAACUCCGGUGGUAUAAGAUGGACCCGCGUUGGAUUAGCUUGUUGGUGGGGUAACGGCUCACCAAGGCGACGAUCCAUAGCCGGCCUGAGAGGGUGAACGGCCACAUUGGGACUGAGACACGGCCCAGACUCCUACGGGAGGAAGCAGUGGGGAAUAUUGCACAAUGGGGGAAACCCUGAUGCAGCGACGCCGCGUGAAGGAAGAAGUAUCUCGGUAUGUAAACUUCUAUCAGCAGGGAAGAUAGUGACGGUACCUGACUAAGAAGCCCCGGCUAACUACGUG
rnacentral:rRNA from 1 species